rnacentral:rRNA from 1 species
AUUGAACGCUGGCGGCAUGCCUUACACAUGCAAGUCGAACGGUAACGGGCCUUCGGGUGCCGACGAGUGGCGAACGGGUGAGUAAUGUAUCGGAACGUACCUUUCAGUGGGGGAUAACGUAGCGAAAGUUACGCUAAUACCGCAUAUUCUGUGAGCAGGAAGGCAGGGGAUCGCAAGACCUUGCGCUGAUUGAGCGGCCGAUAUCAGAUUAGCUAGUUGGUGAGGUAAAGGCUCACCAAGGCGACGAUCUGUAGCGGGUCUGAGAGGAUGAUCCGCCACACUGGAACUGAGACACGGUCCAGACUCCUACGGGAGGCAGCAGUGGGGAAUUUUGGACAAUGGGGGCAACCCUGAUCCAGCUAUGCCGCGUGAGUGAAGAAGGCCUUCGGGUUGUAAAGCUCUUUCGGCCGGGAAGAAAUCGUAUGGGUUAAUACCCUGUGCGGAUGACGGUACCGGCAUAAGAAGCACCGGCUAACUACGUGCCAGCCGCCGCCGUAAUAC